AGCCAACCAUGUCUAUGGCGACUCCCCUCAACACCACUCUACAACGCUCGCCUCUUCCUCUUCCUUGUUUCUCAGUCUUCUUCUCUCCGUUUCAUCCCUCCACCACUCUUUCAGUUACCGGAAUUCGCAAAAGAUGUCUCAGGAUGGUCACUUCAUGCGUCUCACACUCUCAGAGCUCUGUUCAGAACAACGGUGUCACCGACGCCGCCGUAUCUGUGAGAAACCAGAUUCGUCUUGGUCUUCCUAGCAAGGGACGCAUGGCCACCGAUACCCUAGAUCUUCUCAAGGAUUGUCAAUUAUCUGUGAAACAAGUCAAUCCGCGGCAAUAUGUUGCUCAGAUUCCUCAGCUACCGAACACUGAAGUUUGGUUUCAACGGCCCAAAGACAUUGUCAGAAAGUUACUCUCUGGAGAUCUUGAUCUAGGUAUCGUUGGCCUUGACAUAGUUAGUGAAUUUGGUCAGGGAAAUGAAGAUCUGAUCAUUGUCCAUGAAGCUCUCAACUUUGGAGACUGUCAUCUCUCCCUUGCGAUACCAAAUUAUGGGAUAUUUGAGAAUAUAAAUUCUCUCAAGGAGCUCGCACAAAUGCCUCAGUGGACUGCGGAAAGACCUUUACGAGUCGCUACAGGAUUCACUUAUCUAGGACCCAAAUUUAUGAAAGAGAACGGUAUAAAGCACGUGACUUUUUCAACUGCAGAUGGAGCACUCGAGGCAGCUCCUGCGAUGGGGAUAGCCGAUGCCAUCUUAGACCUUGUGAGCAGUGGGACAACCCUUAAAGAGAACAACUUGAAAGAGAUUGAAGGAGGGGUGGUUCUGCAAAGCCAGGCUGCACUUGUGGCAAGCAGGAGGGCAUUGACUGAGAGAACAGGAGCAUUAGACACAGUGCAUGAGAUUCUCGAGAGAUUGGAAGCCCAUUUGAAGGCGGCUGGUCAAUUCACUGUUGUUGCAAACAUGAGAGGAACGGAUGCUGAGGAAGUGGCUGCUCGUUUGAAAACACAACCAUCGUUAUCAGGAUUGCAGGGACCAACAAUAAGUCCAGUUUACUGUAAGCGAGAUGGAAAAGUAUCUAUCGAGUUCUAUGCCAUUGUGAUAUGUAUACCCAAAAAGGCCCUAUACGAGUCUGUGCAGCAACUGAGAGCGGUGGGAGGGAGUGGGGUGCUGGUUUCACCUCUGACAUACAUUUUUGAUGAGGAGACUCCGAGAUGGAGUCAGCUUUUGAGUAACCUCGGACUUUGAUGCUGCUUUCUUACUCAAGACAAGACUUUGGUUUAGUCAGACGCAUGCAAUGGAAUCAGGAUCUAUGAUGGAAUACAUCAGAAGAACAUAGUAUCUCUAUCUAUACCGCCUGUGGACAAGGACCCACUCUGUGACUCCUCACCACCUGUUGCAAAAAAUGAAAUCUUUAUGGGAGUUCAUAUUUGACACGCG